UACAGAGGUCUCAAGCGUUGUUCGGAUUCAUUGGGCGUAAAGGGUGCGUAGGCGGCGCGGUAAGUCGGAUAUGAAAUCUCGGAGCUUAACUCCGAAACUGCAUUCGAUACUGCCGUGCUUGAGGACUGGAGAGGAGACUGGAAUUUACGGUGUAGCGGUGAAAUGCGUAGAUAUCGUAAGGAAGACCAGUGGCGAAGGCGGGGUCUCUGGACAGUUCCUGACGCUGAGGCACGAAGGUCAGGGGAGCAAACAGG
rnacentral:rRNA from 1 species